UGGCUCAGGAUGAACGCUAGCGGCAGGCCUAAUACAUGCAAGUCAAGGGGCCCAGCAAUGGGCACCGGCGGACGGGUGCGUAACGCGUACACAACAUACCUUUAAGUGGGGGAUAGCAUUGGGAAACUGAUGGUAAUACCCCAUAAUAAUUCAGGGAGGCAUUUCCCUGGAUUUAAAGUUGAGGCGCUGUAAGAUGGGCGUGCGUGCUAUUAGCUAGUUGGUGAGGUAACGGCUCACCAAGGCUACGAUAGCUAGGGGGCGUGAGAGCGUGGCCCCCCACACGGGUACUGAGACACGGACCCGACUCCUACGGGAGGCAGCAGUAAGGAAUAUUGGACAAUGGUCGAAAGACUGAUCCAGCCAUCCCGCGUGCAGGAUGACUGCCCUAUGGGUUGUAAACUGCUUUUAUAUGGGAAGAAUAGCAUAGAUUCAUCUGUGUAUGACGGUACCAUAUGAAUAAGCACCGGCUAACUCCGUG
rnacentral:rRNA from 1 species